CGCCGAAGCCACAUGAGCAGCCCAAUGUAUGUACACAAACAAAGGGUCCACCACAUCGGGCCCGACGCGCGCUGGCAGAGAAGCCGCAUGUGCGCCGGGGGGCUCGGCGCCCUGUCCUAUCUUUAGGUCGCGACGCGCACCCUCCUCACCCAAGGACGGGCGGGGACGACGCGCCUCGCGGGUAUGGUUUUCAAACUCUCCACGCCAGCCGGCCGGAAGUGAGCUGGGCCAAGUUGAAGGCCGUCACACGGGGUUCCGCACUGGGGUCACGCUGUCCCGGUCCAGACUCCAGCCAUAUGCAGCCCCGGCUGCAGGCUCUCAAAGCCAGAAAUGACCGCAGUACGGACAGCCGCUUCGCACGGCAGACUCGCGGCAUGCAGCACGGCAGCGAAAUCAAGCUGACAAGCAAUUAGAGGAAAUUCUCAGGAUGCACGAACCACAGCCUACAAGCGCCAAUUUUCUGUUAACCAACCCCCAUAUGCCGAGUAUACAAGGAAGAGGGCACUCAAGAAGUUGAACGCAACCCAGCAGUCAUCUGCGCGGAGUGUCCUCGGUGGAGGUCAUUGGGAUGAAAGCCAAGAAGUCUUCUUAGAACUAAGACGCAUAAUGAGCUCAUUAAACUCGUCACCAGAAACAGUCCAACAACUGCAGACAUCCUAAUGAAGCCAUACUUGCACGCACCUCACAGGCAGAAGUGGCACAGAGACCUUGACCGAUGUUCCCAUGAAAAAAAACAAGGGAAAAAAAAGGAAAAGCAGACACA
rnacentral:lncRNA from 1 species